rnacentral:rRNA from 1 species
AUACGGAGGGUGCAAGCGUUGUUCGGAAUUAUUGGGCGUAAAGCGCGCGCAGGCGGCUUGCCAAGUCUGAUGUGAAAGCCCGGGGCUCAACCUCGGAACUGCAUUGGAAACUGGUAGGCUUGAGUAUGAGAGGGGUUUGUGGAAUUCCUGGUGUAGGGGUGAAAUCCGUAGAUAUCAGGAGGAACACCGGUGGCGAAGGCGACAAACUGGAUCAUUACUGACGCUGAGGUGCGAAAGCGUGGGGAGCAAACAGGAUUAGAAACCCCAGUAGUCC